GGGCCUGUAGCUCAGCUAGGUGGAGCACUCGGCUCUUAACCGAGGAGUCAAGGGUUCGAAAGGAACUUGGUAUCAAAGCCAAAUUCCUCGAACAUCCCUUCAGGCCCG
rnacentral:tRNA from 1 species